rnacentral:rRNA from 1 species
GACAGAGGUCCCGAGCGUUAGGCGGAAUCACUGGGCUUAAAGCGUGUGUAGGCGGAUGCCUAAGUACCUUGUGAAAUCCCACGGCUCACCCGUGGAACUGCUUGGUAUACUGGGUGUCUUGAGCCACUUAGGGGCUACCGGAACAAAUGGUGGAGCGGUGAAAUGCGUAGAUAUCAUUUGGAACGCCAAUGGUGAAAACAGGUAGCUGGGAGUGUGCUGACGCUGAGACACGAAAGCCAAGGGAGCAAACGGG